AUUGAACGCUGGCGGCAGGCCUAACACAUGCAAGUCGAGCGGAUGAAGGGAGCUUGCUCCUGGAUUCAGCGGCGGACGGGUGAGUAAUGCCUAGGAAUCUGCCUGGUAGUGGGGGAUAACGUCCGGAAACGGGCGCUAAUACCGCAUACGUCCUGAGGGAGAAAGUGGGGGAUCUUCGGACCUCACGCUAUCAGAUGAGCCUAGGUCGGAUUAGCUAGUUGGUGGGGUAAAGGCCUACCAAGGCGACGAUCCGUAACUGGUCUGAGAGGAUGAUCAGUCACACUGGAACUGAGACACGGUCCAGACUCCUACGGGGGGCAGCAGUGGGGAAUAUUGGACAAUGGGCGGAAACCUGGUCCAGCCAUGCCGCGUGUGUGAAGAAGGUCCUCGGAUUGUAAAGCACUUUAAGUUGGGAGGAAGGGCAGUAAGUUAAUACCUUGCUGUUUUGACGUUACCAACAGAAUAAGCACCGGCUAACUUCGUG
rnacentral:rRNA from 1 species